rnacentral:misc_RNA from 1 species
GCAAACUUGGUCAUUUAGAGGAAGUAAAAGUCGUAACAAGGUUUCCGUAGGUGAACCUGCGGAAGGAUCAUUAUUGUACUAUAAGAUCGUAACUUUAGUAUUUUUGGUUCAUUUGGUUCAUUUGAAAAAAAUUUCCUGUUAUCGUGAAGUUACGAUCAUUUAGUACAUCCUUAACAGGAGCAAGAAUAUUUAAAACCCAACUCUGUGAAUCCAAUUAUUUUUUACGUGAAGUAAAUUGAAGAUCACUUUCAACAACGGAUCUCUUGGCUCUCGCAUCGAUGAAGAACGCAGC